GCUGCUAUGGCUCAGCAGGUAGAGCACGUCCUUGGUAAGGACGAGGUCACCGGUUCAAGUCCGGUUAGCAGCU
rnacentral:tRNA from 1 species